CACGGCCUAUCAGCUUGUUGGUGAGGUAAUGGCUUACCAAGGCGACGANGGGUAGCCGGCCUGAGAGGGUGACCGGCYACACUGGGACUGAGACACGGCCCAGACUCCUACGGGAGGCAGCAGUGGGGAAUAUUGCACAAUGGGCGCAAGCCUGAUGCAGCGACGCCGCGUGAGGGAUGACGGCCUUCGGGUUGUAAACCUCUGUUAGCAUCGAAGAAGCGAAAGUGACGGUAGGUGCAGAGAAAGCGCCGGCUAACUACGUGCCAGCAGCCGCGGUAAUACGUAGGGCGCGAGCGUUGUCCGGAAUUAUUGGGCGUAAAGAGCUUGUAGGCGGUUGGUCGCGUCUGCUGUGAAAGGCUGGGGCUUAACCCUGGUUUUGCAGUGGGUACGGGCUAACUAGAGUGCAGUAGGGGAGACUGGAAUUCCUGGUGUAGCGGUGGAAUGCGCAGAUAUCAGGAGGAACACCGAUGGCGAAGGCAGGUCUCUGGGCUGUAACUGACGCUGAGAAGCGAAAGCAUGGGGAGCGAACAGGAUUAGAUACCCUGGUAGUCCAUGCCGUAAACGUUGGGCACUAGGUGUGGGGGACAUUCCACGUUUUCCGCGCCGUAGCUAACGCAUUAAGUGCCCCGCCUGGGGAGUACGG
rnacentral:rRNA from 1 species